GACGAACGCUGGCGGCGUGCUUAACACAUGCAAGUCGAACGGAAAGGCCUGCUUUCCCUUGUGGAUUGCGGGUACUCGAGUGGCGAACGGGUGAGUAACACGUGCGUGAUCUGCCCCCAACUUGGGUAUAAGCCUGGGAAACUGGGUCUAAUUCCCGAUAGGACUGCAGGGUGGUGCCUGUGGUGGAAAACGAUUUUCUAGUGGUUGGGGAUGAGCUCGCGGCCUAUCAGCUUGUUGGUGGGGUAAUGGCCUACCAAGGCGGCGACGGGUAGCCGGCCUGAGAGGGUGGACGGCCACAUUGGGACUGAGAUACGGCCCAGACUCCUACGGGAGGCAGCAGUGGGGAAUAUUGCACAAUGGGCGGAAGCCUGAUGCAGCGACGCCGCGUGGGGGAUGACGGCCUUCGGGUUGUAGACUCCUUUCGACCGCGAGGAAGCCACCUGGUUGGAAGGGUGGUGACGGUAGUGGUAGAAGAAGCACCGGCUAACUACGUG
rnacentral:rRNA from 1 species